rnacentral:rRNA from 1 species
CUUCGGGUUAGUGGCGGACGGGUGAGUAACGCGUGAGAAUCUGCCCUCAGGAGGGGGAUAACGGCUGGAAACGGCCGCUAAUACCCCAUAUGCCGAGAGGUGAAAUGAAUUUCGCCUGAGGAUGAGCUCGCGUCUGAUUAGCUAGUUGGUGAGGUAAUGGCUCACCAAGGCUUCGAUCAGUAGCUGGUCUGAGAGGAUGAUCAGCCACACUGGGACUGAGACACGGCCCAGACUCCUACGGGAGGCAGCAGUGGGGAAUUUUCCGCAAUGGGCGAAAGCCUGACGGAGCAACGCCGCGUGAGGGAUGAAGGCCUCUGGGCUGUAAACCUCUUUUAUCAAGGAAGAAGAUCUGACGGUACUUGAUGAAUAAGCCACGGCUAAUUCCGUGCCAGCAGCCGCGGUAAUACGGGAGUGGCAAGCGUUAUCCGGAAUUAUUGGGCGUAAAGCGUCCGCAGGCGGUUUUGAAAGUCUGUUGUUAAAGCGUGGAGCUUAACUCCAUUUCAGCAAUGGAAACUACAAGACUAGAGUGUGGUAGGGGCAGAGGGAAUUCCCGGUGUAGCGGUGAAAUGCGUAGAUAUCGGGAAGAACACCAGUGGCGAAGGCGCUCUGCUGGGCCAUAACUGACGCUCAUGGACGAAAGCCAGGGGAGCGAAAGGGAUUAGAUACCCCUGUAGUCCUGGCCGUAAACGAUGAACACUAGGUGUCGGGGGAAUCGACCCCCUCGGUGUCGUAGCCAACGCGUUAAGUGUUCCGCCUGGGGAGUACGCACGCAAGUGUGAAACUCAAAGGAAUUGACGGGGGCCCGCACAAGCGGUGGAGUAUGUGGUUUAAUUCGAUGCAACGCGAAGAACCUUACCAGGGUUUGACAUCCUGCGAAUCCCUUGGAAACUUGGGAGUGCCUUCGGGAGCGCAGUGACAGGUGGUGCAUGGCUGUCGUCAGCUCGUGUCGUGAGAUGUUGGGUUAAGUCCCGCAACGAGCGCAACCCACGUCUUUAGUUGCCAGCAUUUAGUUGGGCACUCUAGAGAGACUGCCGGUGAUAAACCGGAGGAAGGUGUGGAUGACGUCAAGUCAUCAUGCCCCUUACAUCCUGGGCUACACACGUACUACAAUGCUACGGACAAAGGGCAGCAAACUCGCGAGAGCUAGCAAAUCCCAUAAACCGUGGCUCAGUUCAGAUCGUAGGCUGCAACUCGCCUACGUGAAGGAGGAAUCGCUAGUAAUCGCAGGUCAGCAUACUGCGGUGAAUACGUUCCCGGGCCUUGUACACACCGCCCGUCACACCAUGGAAGUUGGCCACGCCCGAAGUCGUUACUCCAACCCUUGUGGAGGAGGAUGCCGAAGGUGGGGCUGAUGACUGGGGUGAAGUCGUAACAAGGUAGCCGUACCGGAAGGUGC